GCACUGGUUAGCUCAGUUGGUUAGAGUGUGGUGCUGAUAACACCAAGGUCGCGGGUUCGAAACCUGCUCGGUCCC
rnacentral:tRNA from 1 species